rnacentral:rRNA from 1 species
AGCGUACACGGUGGAUGCCCUGGCAGUCAGAGGCGAUGAAGGACGUGCUAAUCUGCGAUAAGCGUCGGUAAGGUGAUAUGAACCGUUAUAACCGGCGAUUUCCGAAUGGGGAAACCCAGUGUGUUUCGACACACUAUCAUUAACUGAAUCCAUAGGUUAAUGAGGCGAACCGGGGGAACUGAAACAUCUAAGUACCCCGAGGAAAAGAAAUCAACCGAGAUUCCCCCAGUAGCGGCGAGCGAACGGGGAGCAGCCCAGAGCCUGAAUCAGUGUGUGUGUUAGUGGAAGCGUCUGGAAAGGCGCGCGAUACAGGGUGACAGCCCCGUACACAAAAAUGCACAUGCUGUGAGCUCGAUGAGUAGGGCGGGACACGUGGUAUCCUGUCUGAAUAUGGGGGGACCAUCCUCCAAGGCUAAAUACUCCUGACUGACCGAUAGUGAACCAGUACCGUGAGGGAAAGGCGAAAAGAACCCCGGCGAGGGGAGUGAAAAAGAACCUGAAACCGUGUACGUACAAGCAGUGGGAGCACGCUUAGGCGUGUGACUGCGUACCUUUUGUAUAAUGGGUCAGCGACUUAUAUUCUGUAGCAAGGUUAACCGAAUAGGGGAGCCGAAGGGAAACCGAGUCUUAACUGGGCGUUAAGUUGCAGGGUAUAGACCCGAAACCCGGUGAUCUAGCCAUGGGCAGGUUGAAGGUUGGGUAACACUAACUGGAGGACCGAACCGACUAAUGUUGAAAAAUUAGCGGAUGACUUGUGGCUGGGGGUGAAAGGCCAAUCAAACCGGGAGAUAGCUGGUUCUCCCCGAAAGCUAUUUAGGUAGCGCCUCGUGAAUUCAUCUCCGGGGGUAGAGCACUGUUUCGGCAAGGGGGUCAUCCCGACUUACCAACCCGAUGCAAACUGCGAAUACCGGAGAAUGUUAUCACGGGAGACACACGGCGGGUGCUAACGUCCGUCGUGAAGAGGGAAACAACCCAGACCGCCAGCUAAGGUCCCAAAGUCAUGGUUAAGUGGGAAACGAUGUGGGAAGGCCCAGACAGCCAGGAUGUUGGCUUAGAAGCAGCCAUCAUUUAAAGAAAGCGUAAUAGCUCACUGGUCGAGUCGGCCUGCGCGGAAGAUGUAACGGGGCUAAACCAUGCACCGAAGCUGCGGCAGCGACGCUGAUGCGUUGUUGGGUAGGGGAGCGUUCUGUAAGCCUGCGAAGGUGUGCUGUGAGGCAUGCUGGAGGUAUCAGAAGUGCGAAUGCUGACAUAAGUAACGAUAAAGCGGGUGAAAAGCCCGCUCGCCGGAAGACCAAGGGUUCCUGUCCAACGUUAAUCGGGGCAGGGUGAGUCGACCCCUAAGGCGAGGCCGAAAGGCGUAGUCGAUGGGAAACAGGUUAAUAUUCCUGUACUUGGUGUUACUGCGAAGGGGGGACGGAGAAGGCUAUGUUGGCCGGGCGACGGUUGUCCCGGUUUAAGCGUGUAGGCUGGUUUUCCAGGCAAAUCCGGAAAAUCAAGGCUGAGGCGUGAUGACGAGGCACUACGGUGCUGAAGCAACAAAUGCCCUGCUUCCAGGAAAAGCCUCUAAGCAUCAGGUAACAUCAAAUCGUACCCCAAACCGACACAGGUGGUCAGGUAGAGAAUACCAAGGCGCUUGAGAGAACUCGGGUGAAGGAACUAGGCAAAAUGGUGCCGUAACUUCGGGAGAAGGCACGCUGAUAUGUAGGUGAAGUCCCUCGCGGAUGGAGCUGAAAUCAGUCGAAGAUACCAGCUGGCUGCAACUGUUUAUUAAAAACACAGCACUGUGCAAACACGAAAGUGGACGUAUACGGUGUGACGCCUGCCCGGUGCCGGAAGGUUAAUUGAUGGGGUUAGCCGCAAGGCGAAGCUCUUGAUCGAAGCCCCGGUAAACGGCGGCCGUAACUAUAACGGUCCUAAGGUAGCGAAAUUCCUUGUCGGGUAAGUUCCGACCUGCACGAAUGGCGUAAUGAUGGCCAGGCUGUCUCCACCCGAGACUCAGUGAAAUUGAACUCGCUGUGAAGAUGCAGUGUACCCGCGGCAAGACGGAAAGACCCCGUGAACCUUUACUAUAGCUUGACACUGAACAUUGAGCCUUGAUGUGUAGGAUAGGUGGGAGGCUUAGAAGUGUGGACGCCAGUCUGCAUGGAGCCGACCUUGAAAUACCACCCUUUAAUGUUUGAUGUUCUAACGUUGACCCGUAAUCCGGGUUGCGGACAGUGUCUGGUGGGUAGUUUGACUGGGGCGGUCUCCUCCUAAAGAGUAACGGAGGAGCACGAAGGUUGGCUAAUCCUGGUCGGACAUCAGGAGGUUAGUGCAAUGGCAUAAGCCAGCUUGACUGCGAGCGUGACGGCGCGAGCAGGUGCGAAAGCAGGUCAUAGUGAUCCGGUGGUUCUGAAUGGAAGGGCCAUCGCUCAACGGAUAAAAGGUACUCCGGGGAUAACAGGCUGAUACCGCCCAAGAGUUCAUAUCGACGGCGGUGUUUGGCACCUCGAUGUCGGCUCAUCACAUCCUGGGGCUGAAGUAGGUCCCAAGGGUAUGGCUGUUCGCCAUUUAAAGUGGUACGCGAGCUGGGUUUAGAACGUCGUGAGACAGUUCGGUCCCUAUCUGCCGUGGGCGCUGGAGAACUGAGGGGGGCUGCUCCUAGUACGAGAGGACCGGAGUGGACGCAUCACUGGUGUUCGGGUUGUCAUGCCAAUGGCACUGCCCGGUAGCUAAAUGCGGAAGAGAUAAGUGCUGAAAGCAUCUAAGCACGAAACUUGCCCCGAGAUGAGUUCUCCCUGACUCCUUGA